rnacentral:rRNA from 1 species
CAGCAGCCACGGGAAUACGUAGGGUGCAAGCGUUAAUCGGAAUUACUGGGCGUAAAGCGUGCGUAGGCGGUGAGUUAAGUCUGCUGUGAAAUCCCCGGGCUCAACCUGGGAAUGGCAGUGGAUACUGGCUCGCUAGAGUGUGUCAGAGGAUGGUGGAAUUCCCGGUGUAGCGGUGAAAUGCGUGGAGAUCGGGAGGAACAUCAGUGGCGAAGGCGGCCAUCUGGGACAACACUGACGCUGAGGCACGAAAGCGUGGGGAGCAAACAGGAUUAGAUACCCCCGUAGUCCCUGUCUCUUAUAC